GUGAGGAGAAUGUGAAGAAAAAUUCUUUGUGAAGAGACAAGAGGGACAGUUGUGGCUUCAGAAGGACUGGAGGACAUUCAGGAUAUUCUGAAGCAACCACGUCUUGAAGACCUUCUGGAAAGGAGCCCUGCAAUAAGCAACAAAUUGUUCCUUACCUUGAGAGACAACAGAGUCUGGAGACCAAGGCAAAAUUCCAGCGUUUCAUCAUCUGAGAAGAGAGAAAAAAUGAUCAGGCUUAAGACUCUAUAAAGUGUGCCUCUCCUGUAAGAGGAAGUGGAAAACAACAGCAUCUGGUUCACAAAGCUGUAUGAUUGUGGUCUAUUUGGUAUAAACAGCAAUGAAAGGGAUGAAUAAAACACACAAACAUUAACAAGCAGGUAGUAACAGUAAAGACUAGCACUCUUCUGUCACCGACUGACAAGCCACUAAAAGAACUACUUAAGCACAGCCCUGAAGAGUACCAAAAUAAAACUGCAGUCGGUAAAAGGAGGGGACUGAUUAUUCUCAGGUAUUUGCGGGGGCUUGUGGAGUUGUUUGAAACUUACUAUCAGAUAUCAGAAGGGGCUCAUGAGAUCAUAUAAAACAUACUAUUGGAUAUGCAGGAGAAUGCAAGCAGUAGGGUGCAUCAGGAAGAACAAGCACAGAAAAAUGGAGAGGAGAGGGGAUAAGAGGCCAGUAAAGUGCAAGCAGACUGUUGGGCAGUUCACCUGUCUGACCAAACCCUGUGCCAAACAGCUGCAAUCUAUCUGAACUUCUUAUUAAGCAAUUUUUGCUCUCUGUAAUUUCUCUAUCGUACAUGUGACUGCUGCAAGUGUUAGUAAGUGCAGAAGAUCAGAAUCUGUGCUAGUUUGAAGCUAGCUAGAAUGUUUUGGUGAGAAGAAUUAGAUCACAGGCUGUGAAAGAGAAACAAUGGUGAUAUCUACUUCACUCAGAGGCUUGCUGAGAUGUAUACAAACAAGAAUGAAAAUAUAAAUAAGACAUUCAGUCAC